AAACUCAAAGGAAUUGACGGGGCCCGCACAAGCGGUGGAGCAUGUGGUUUAAUUCGACGCAACGCGAAAAACCUUACCUGGGUUUGACAUGCCGAGUACCCGAUGGAAACAUUGGGGUGCCCCGUAAGGGGAACUUGGACACAGGUGCUGCAUGGCUGUCGUCAGCUCGUGCCGUGAGGUGUUGGGUUAAGUCCCGCAACGAGCGCAACCCUCACCCUUAGUUGCCAUCAUUAAGUUGGGCACCCUAAGGGAACUGCCGCAGUUAAUGCGGAGGAAGGUGGGGAUGACGUCAAGUCCUCAUGGCCCUUAUAUCCAGGGCUACACACGUGCUACAAUGGGCGGUACAAAGGGUCGCGAACCUGUAAGGGGGAGCUAACCCCAGAAAACCGUUCUCAGUUCGGAUUGGAGUCUGCAACCCGACUCCAUGAAGUUGGAAUCGCUAGUAAUCGCGGAUCAGAACGCCGCGGUCGAAUACGUUCCCGGGCCUU
rnacentral:rRNA from 1 species